rnacentral:rRNA from 1 species
AUUGAACGCUGGCGGCAGGCUUAACACAUGCAAGUCGAGCGGAAACGAUGGUAGCUUGCUACCAGGCGUCGAGCGGCGGACGGGUGAGUAAUACUUAGGAAUCUACCUAGUAGUGGGGGAUAGCUCGGGGAAACUCGAAUUAAUACCGCAUACGACCUACGGGAGAAAGGGGGCAGUUUACUGCUCUCGCUAUUAGAUGAGCCUAAGUCGGAUUAGCUAGAUGGUGGGGUAAAGGCCUACCAUGGCGACGAUCUGUAGCUGGUCUGAGAGGAUGAUCAGCCACACCGGGACUGAGACACGGCCCGGACUCCUACGGGAGGCAGCAGUGGGGAAUAUUGGACAAUGGGGGAAACCCUGAUCCAGCCAUGCCGCGUGUGUGAAGAAGGCCUUUUGGUUGUAAAGCACUUUAAGCAGUGAAGAAGACUCCGUGGUUAAUACCCACGGACGAUGACAUUAGCUGCAGAAUAAGCACCGGCUAACUCUGUGCCAGCAGCCGCGGUAAUACAGAGGGUGCAAGCGUUAAUCGGAAUUACUGGGCGUAAAGGGAGCGUAGGUGGCUCGAUAAGUCAGAUGUGAAAUCCCCGGGCUCAACCUGGGAACUGCAUCUGAUACUGUUGAGCUAGAGUAUGUGAGAGGAAGGUAGAAUUCCAGGUGUAGCGGUGAAAUGCGUAGAGAUCUGGAGGAAUACCGAUGGCGAAGGCAGCCUUCUGGUAUAAUACUGACACUGAGGCUCGAAAGCGUGGGUAGCAAACAGG